rnacentral:rRNA from 1 species
UGGGGAAUAUUGCACAAUGGGGGAAACCCUGAUGCAGCGACGCCGCGUGGAGGAAGAAGGUCUUCGGAUUGUAAACUCCUGUUGUUGAGGAAGAUAAUGACGGUACUCAACAAGGAAGUGACGGCUAACUACGUGCCAGCAGCCGCGGUAAAACGUAGGUCACAAGCGUUGUCCGGAAUUACUGGGUGUAAAGGGAGCGCAGGCGGGAAGACAAGUUGGAAGUGAAAUCCAUGGGCUCAACCCAUGAACUGCUUUCAAAACUGUUUUUCUUGAGUAGUGCAGAGGUAGGCGGAAUUCCCGGUGUAGCGGUGGAAUGCGUAGAUAUCGGGAGGAACACCAGUGGCGAAGGCGGCCUACUGGGCACCAACUGACGCUGAGGCUCGAAAGUGUGGGUAGCAAACAGGAUUAGAUACCCUGGUAGUCCACACCGUAAACGAUGAUUACUAGGUGUUGGAGGAUUGACCCCUUCAGUGCCGCAGUUAACACAAUAAGUAAUCCACCUGGGGAGUACGACCGCAAGGUUGAAACUCAAAGGAAUUGACGGGGGCCCGCACAAGCAGUGGAGUAUGUGGUUUAAUUCGACGCAACGCGAAGAACCUUACCAAGUCUUGACAUCCUGCGACGAUGCUGGAAACAGUAUUUUCCUUCGGGACGCAGAGACAGGUGGUGCAUGGUUGUCGUCAGCUCGUGUCGUGAGAUGUUGGGUUAAGUCCCGCAACGAGCGCAACCCUUACUGUCAGUUACUACGCAAGAGGACUCUGGCCAGACUGCCGUUGACAAAACGGAGGAAGGUGGGGAUGACGUCAAAUCAUCAUGCCCUUUAUGACUUGGGCUACACACGUACUACAAUGGCGUUAAACAAAGAGAAGCAAGACCGCGAGGUGGAGCAAAACUCAGAAACAACGUCCCAGUUCGGACUGCAGGCUGCAACUCGCCUGCACGAAGUCGGAAUUGCUAGUAAUCGUGGAUCAGCAUGCCACGGUGAAUACGUUCCC